rnacentral:rRNA from 1 species
CGCGUAGGCUGUGCUGUAAGUCAGGCGUGAAAGGCCCGGGCUCAACCUGGGAAUGGCGCUUGAUACUGCGGCGCUGGAAGGCAGGAGAGGAUGGCGGAAUUCCCAGUGUAGAGGUGAAAUUCGUAGAUAUUGGGAAGAACACCGGUGGCGAAGGCGGCCAUCUGGCCUGCAAUUGACGCUGAGGCGCGAAAGCGUGGGGAGCAAACAGGAUUAGAUACCCUGGUAGUCCACGCUGUAAACGAUGAGUGCUAGACGUCGGGGAGCUUGCUCUUCGGUGUCGCCGCUAACGCAUUAAGCACUCCGCCUGGGGAGUACGGUCGCAAGAUUAAA